AUUGAACGCUGGCGGCAUGCCUUACACAUGCAAGUCGAACGGUAACAGGUCUUCGGAUGCUGACGAGUGGCGAACGGGUGAGUAAUACAUCGGAACGUGCCUAGUAGUGGGGGAUAACUACUCGAAAGAGUGGCUAAUACCGCAUGAGAUCUACGGAUGAAAGCAGGGGAUCGCAAGACCUUGUGCUACUAGAGCGGCCGAUGGCAGAUUAGGUAGUUGGUGGGAUAAAAGCUUACCAAGCCGACGAGCUGUAGCUGGUCUGAGAGGACGAUCAGCAACACUGGGACUGGGACACGGCCCAGACUCCUACGGGAGGCAGCAGUGGGGAAUUUUGGACAAUGGGCGCAAGCCUGAUCCAGCAAUGCCGCGUGCAGGAUGAAGGCCUUCGGGUUGUAAACUGCUUUUGUACGGAACGAAAAGCCCUGGGUUAAUACCCUGGGGUCAUGACGGUACCGUAAGAAUAAGCACCGGCUAACUACGUGCCAGCAGCCGCCGUAAAAC
rnacentral:rRNA from 1 species